rnacentral:rRNA from 1 species
GAUGAACGCUGGCGGCGUGCUUAACACAUGCAAGUCGAACGAUUAAGACGGCUUCGGCCGUGUAUAGAGUGGCGAACGGGUGAGUAACACGUGACCAACCUGCCCCGCGCUCCGGGACAACCGCUGGAAACGGCGGCUAAUACCGGAUGCUCCGGGGAGGCCCCAUGGCCUCCCCGGGAAAGCCCCGACGGCGCGGGAUGGGGUCGCGGCCCAUUAGGUAGACGGCGGGGUAACGGCCCACCGUGCCCGCGAUGGGUAGCCGGACUGAGAGGUCGACCGGCCACAUUGGGACUGAGAUACGGCCCAGACUCCUACGGGAGGCAGCAGUGGGGAAUUUUGCGCAAUGGGGGGAACCCUGACGCAGCAACGCCGCGUGCGGGACGAAGGCCUUCGGGUUGUAAACCGCUUUCAGCAGGGAAGAUCAGACGGUAC